rnacentral:rRNA from 1 species
GACGGAGGAUGCAAGUGUUAUCCGGAAUCACUGGGCGUAAAGCGUCUGUAGGUGGUUCGAAAAGUCCACUGUUAAAAAUUGAAGCUUAACUUCAAAGAUGCCGUGGAAACUUUCAAACUAGAGUGUGGUAGGGGUAGAGGGAAUUUCCAGUGGAGCGGUGAAAUUCGUAGAUAUUCGCAAGAACACCAGUGGCGAAGGCGGCUCACUGGCCCGAUACUGACGCUGAGGCACGAAAGCGUGGGGAGCAAACAGG